rnacentral:lncRNA from 1 species
AAGUCCCUAAUCAAAUGGUAAAAUCAAAAGAACAAAACAACUGUCAUACUCGUGAGUUGGUUCAGGCAUUUUCUUGAGUAGAAAAUGAUGGAUUUAACCUGGUAUUGUAACUAGCUUAACCUCUCACUUGUAUGAUAUAUUCUAACAUAAUAAAUCAAAAUGAAACUAUUAGUAUUGUAAAAACGAAUCAAAAUAUUUUACAGCAAC